CGGGACGUGGCGCAGCCUGGUAGCGUACUUGAAUGGGGUUCAAGGGGUCGUGGGUUCGAAUCCCACCGUCCCGACCA
rnacentral:tRNA from 1 species